rnacentral:misc_RNA from 1 species
AUUAUCAACCAUCAAGCCUGGCUUGCCGUUGGACUAUUUUGUCGUCACGCGACAGGUCCCAAAGAUAAUGAACGGUGUCAUGGCGACCCUAAAUGCAACGAGCUUUUUACAGCACGCAUUCUAGUGGUUGGCAGGCCCGGUCUCAACCCUUAUUUCUCAAGGUUGACCUCGGAUCAGGUAGGAAUACCCGCUGAACUUAA